rnacentral:lncRNA from 1 species
UUUCUUUUCAUUUGAUCCACUUGACAGCCUGCAUCACCAUUCCACAUCGUUCCAAUCAACCCAAACUAACCUGUAAAAAUUGUAAGAGUGAGUAUUCGAAAACACACAGUAAGAUAUGUGCAGUUUCCAUAUACAUAACAGUAAAAUCAAUAUUUCAUACCACUCUGCUCUUAUGGAGUAUAUCGAUGAUUAAGCGACACACCCAUCUUUGGUCCUCUUUUAUCCUGUAGGAUUUCAUCUCUUAAAAAAAUAAAUUAAUGUCUACUAGCAAUCCAUGCAUAUUUAAUUGCAUAUAAGAACAUAAGGAAAUGAAAACACUUUGCACAUAAAUGUAUCUUACCUCGAUAUAAAAGAAUUUAAAGAAAUAUAAAUGCAAGUUCCAAAUUCUCUUCUCGAAAUUUCUACUUCAAUGAAUAUAGGUAUGCCAGGACUUUCCUUACUGUUUUAAAUGGGUGCAAAUAGACCCGGUUCUCUCUCUCUCUCUCUCUCUUUUCCAAAAUAAACAAAUGGGAUAAUUUUCUUUUCUG